GGAAUUUGCUGAGGAUAGUGCAGUUUAAAUAAUUCCAACGUCAUAGUUGGAGGAAACCAAAGUGGUAUUGUUUUAUUUUCACAUUCAUUUACAUUACACUAAAUCAGUGCAAGAAUGGUAAAUCUAAUGUUCUGUUACUGGACAUUUACGAACACAAGGAAACUUGUAAAAAACUGCUCUCUGCCAGACAAAGCGAAGUGGAGGCGAUGUCUAUUAAAAAAAGUUUGGCUAAGAACAGGCUCUUACACUAAAGGUCUUCAGAAAUGCCGGCGAGUAGUGGAGACCUCGAAUGUUGAAACAGAAGACUGCUCCAAAGUGAACAAAAAGAGGGCACAUAAAAAGCAAUAAAGAUUUGUGUCGGACAUUGAUUCUUCCUCAGAUGAUGAUGGCAGAGUUUUCCCAAAGGAGAAUACAGAUGUGUCAAAACCUCAUCCAC